rnacentral:rRNA from 2 species
CGUGCCUAAUACAUGCAAGUCGAGCGAACAGAUGAGAAGCUUGCUUCUCUGAUGUUAGCGGCGGACGGGUGAGUAACACGUGGGUAACCUACCUAUAAGACUGGGAUAACUCCGGGAAACCGGGGCUAAUACCUGAUAAUAUUUUGAACCGCAUGGUUCAAUAGUGAAAGACGGCUUCGGCUGUCACUUAUAGAUGGACCCGCGCCGUAUUAGCUAGUUGGUAAGGUAAUGGCUUACCAAGGCAACGAUACGUAGCCGACCUGAGAGGGUGAUCGGCCACACUGGAACUGAGACACGGUCCAGACUCCUACGGGAGGCAGCAGUAGGGAAUCUUCCGCAAUGGGCGAAAGCCUGACGGAGCAACGCCGCGUGAGUGAUGAAGGUCUUAGGAUCGUAAAACUCUGUUGUUAGGGAAGAACAAAUUUGUUAGUAACUGAACAAGUCUUGACGGUACCUAACCAGAAAGCCACGGCUAACUACGUGCCAGCAGCCGCGGUAAUACGUAGGUGGCAAGCGUUAUCCGGAAUUAUUGGGCGUAAAGCGCGCGUAGGCGGUUUCUUAAGUCUGAUGUGAAAGUCCACGGCUCAACCGUGGAAGGUCAUUGGAAACUGGGGAACUUGAGUGCAGAAGAGGAGAGUGGAAUUCCAUGUGUAGCGGUGAAAUGCGCAGAGAUAUGGAGGAACACCAGUGGCGAAGGCGGCUCUCUGGUCUGUAACUGACGCUGAUGUGCGAAAGCGUGGGGAUCA